rnacentral:rRNA from 1 species
GACGAACGCUGGCGGCGCGCUUAACACAUGCAAGUCGAGCGAGAACCGGGGCUUCGGCCCUGGGGAAAGCGGCGAACGGGUGAGUAACACGUGAGUAACCUGCCCUCGGCACCGGAAUAGCCCGGGGAAACUCGGAUUAAUGCCGGAUAGCCCCUCUGCCCUGCGGGGUGGUGGGAAAAGGUAGCUUUGGCCUCUGGCCGAGGAUGGGCUCGCGGCGGAUUAGCUUGUUGGUGGGGUAACGCCUACCAAGGCGACGAUCCGUAGCUGGUCUGAGAGGACGAUCAGCCACACUGGGACUGAGACACGGCCCAGACUCCUACGGGAGGCAGCAGUGGGGAAUCUUGCGCAAUGGGCGAAAGCCUGACGCAGCGACGCCGCGUGCGGGAAGAAGGCCUCGG